CCUACGGGUGGCAGCAGUGAGGAAUAUUGGUCAAUGGGCGCGAGCCUGAACCAGCCAAGGAGCGUGAAGGAUGACGGCCCUAUGGGGUGUAAACUUCUUUUAUAGGGGAAUAAAGUGCAGUAUGUAUACUGCUUUGCAUGUACCUUAUGAAUAAGGAUCGGCUAACUCCGUGCCAGCAGACGCGGUAAUACGGAGGAUCCGAGCGUUAUCCGGAUUUAUUGGGUUUAAAGGGAGCGUAGGCGGGUUGUUAAGUCCGUUGGGAAAGUUUGCGGCUCAACCGUACAAUUGCCGUUGAUACUGGCAUCCUUGAGUGCAGUAGAGGUAGGCGGAAUUCGUGGUGUAGCGGUGCAAUGCUUAGAUAUCACGCAGAACUCCGCUUGCGAAGGCAGCCUGCUGGACUGUAACUGACGCUGAUGCUCGAAAGUGUGGGUAUCAAACAGGAUUAGAUACCCUGGUAGUC
rnacentral:rRNA from 1 species